GAUGAACGCUGGCGGCGUGCCUAAUACAUGCAAGUCGAGCGAACGGACGAGAAGCUUGCUUUUCUGAUGUUAGCGGCGGACGGGUGAGUAACACGUGGAUAACCUACCUAUAAGACUGGGAUAACUUCGGGAAACCGGAGCUAAUACCGGAUAAUAUUCUGAACCGCAUGGUUCAAAAGUGAAAGACGGUCUUGCUGUCACUUAUAGAUGGAUCCGCGCUGCAUUAGCUAGUUGGUAAGGUAACGGCUUACCAAGGCAACGAUGCAUAGCCGACCUGAGAGGGUGAUCGGCCACACUGGAACUGAGACACGGUCCAGACUCCUACGGGAGGCAGCAGUAGGGAAUCUUCCGCAAUGGGCGAAAGCCUGACGGAGCAACGCCGCAUGAGUGAUGAAGGUCUUCGGAUCGUAAAACUCUGUUAUUAGGGAAGAACAUAUGUGUAAGUAACUGUGCACAUCUUGACGGUACCUAAUCAGAAAGCCACGGCUAACUACGUG
rnacentral:rRNA from 1 species